AACGAACGCCGGCGGCAGGCUUAACACAUGCAAGUCGAACGAGAUCUUCGGAUCUAGUGGCAGACGGGUGAGGAACACGUGGGAACAUCCCUUUCAGUUCGGAAUAACGUUGGGAAACUAACGCUAAUACCGGAUACGUCCUUCGGGAGAAAGAUUUAUCGCUGAAAGAUUGGCCCGCGUCUGAUUAGCUAGUUGGUGAGGUAAUGGCUCACCAAGGCUACGAUCAGUAGCUGAUCUGAGAGGAUGAUCAGCCACAUUGGGACUGAGACACGGCCCAAACUCCUACGGGAGGCAGCAGUGGGGAAUUUUAGACAAUGGGGGCAACCCUGAUCUAGCCAUGCCGCGUGAGUGAUGAAGGCCUUAGGGUUGUAAAGCUCUUUCAGCUGGGAAGAUAAUGACGGUACCAGCAGAAGAAGCCCCGGCUAACUCCGUGCCAGCCGCCGCCGUAA
rnacentral:rRNA from 1 species